rnacentral:rRNA from 1 species
AUUGAACGCUGGCGGCAGGCCUAACACAUGCAAGUCGAGCGGAUGAAGGGAGCUUGCUCCUGGAUUCAGCGGCGGACGGGUGAGUAAUGCCUAGGAAUCUGCCUGGUAGUGGGGGAUAACGUCCGGAAACGGGCGCUAAUACCGCAUACGUCCUGAGGGAGAAAGUGGGGGAUCUUCGGACCUCACGCUAUCAGAUGAGCCUAGGUCGGAUUAGCCAGUUGGUGGGGUAAAGGCCUACCAAGGCGACGAUCCGUAACUGGUCUGAGAGGAUGACCAGUCACACUGGAACUGAGACACGGUCCAGACUCCUACGGGAGGCAGCAGUGGGGAAUAUUGGACAAUGGGCGAAAGCCUGAUCCAGCCAUGCCGCGUGUGUGAAGAAGGUCUUCGGAUUGUAAAGCACUUUAAGUUGGGAGGAAGGGCAGUAAGUUAAUACCUUGCUGUUUUGACGUUACCAACAGAAUAAGCACCGGCUAACUUCGUG